UUAGGUCAGUGUAAGUUAAAGUAGGGCUGAGAGAUGAAUAAAGUAGAUUUUCUCCUCUGGAACACUCUGCAGUUUAAUUUCACUUCUUUCUACAAUGUGCGAUGAAGGUGGACUUAACUUUUAAAAGCAAAGGGACAAACCAUUGCCAGGAUAAAUGAAAAGACGCAGAGGGGGUGGCUGGCACCAUACAGAAGAGGAAAUGCUUUCUGGCUGGUUCCUAAUUUUCAUAUCCGGGUCACCGUCAGAAAUCAUUCUCAGAGCAGCCAGAAACACAUUAAUCUGAGGGAAAGCACCACAUACCCACACAGACUUCCCCUUCCUGCUGAUUGAGCCAAGGAGGAGGAAGUGGUCCUGAAGGUGAAAGUUGAAACCUUCUGUUCUGCAGUCUUGGUGGCUCUGGAAAGGACUCAAACGCCUGGACAUGGAGGUCCACCUCUAGUGUUAAAAAUGCAGCAGACCACCUUGCGUGGCUUCGCUAUCCAAAAGCAUUGGGGCCACCGCAGUCACUUGCAGGAAGAACUGUAGGAAAUGUGAACAAAUUACAAGAAAAAGCUACUUUUUAUCCAGUUGCUGCUGAUCAUGCCAUUAAAUGGCCAAGAUUGGUUUUUGUGUUUGUUCCAUGUUUGUAAUGUUUUGUUUUUCUCUUUAAGCAAAGAGGAGCGAAUGAGAUUUAAGCUAGACACAUUUUAAAUAAUACUACUCCUUGGUUUUAAAUUCUCUAGCAUUUGAGAGUAUCUACUGAAUUCCAUGUUGCUUCUUUAAAUUACAGAUCAGGUCGAAGGUAAUGCCACAUUCAUAAUAAUAAUAAUGAUAAUAAUAAUAAUGAUAAUAAUGUGUAAACUCUUCUGAUGGUUAGUGAGAAUAUCAGUUAAGCACAAAGAGGUCUCAGGCAGGCUAAGAUCCCUCAAGUAAUUUCUAGGGUUCUCCAGCAUUGGCCAGUUGCUAGGUUUCCUGUUACCCCCAAAUUUCUUCCACCUCUCUGUCAGUACCUAGUGUUUGUUCAGGCUGCUUUCCAUCUGUAGCCACAUAUGACACAAUGACAGAAUCUCUGUGCUAUUCUGUGUUCAUGUUUGUCUCCAGAAUCAUAAUCACAUUAAAUCUAUGUGGUAUCUGACUGAAUACUCUGUGCUGUAAAUGCUGUCUUCUGUAUGUCUCAGUAUUGUAAAGAAGGAAAUCAAAAGGAAGGAAGACUGAUGGAGAGUGGAAUAAGAAGCAAAUGAUAAGAAGCAAUCAAAGAAAACAUCUUGAACUCUUGUUUUUGAGGUAGAAUCGGCUCUACAGCCAGAAUGAUGUGAAUGAAGCUGCCAAGUUGGCUGUCUGCUUGGGAUGGAGCUUGGACCCAUCUUUGAAUUACAUUUGUUUUUCUGUAACCUCUUAGUGUCAGAAAAUCCCUCAGGCACUUUCCUUUCAUAAAUUGAAGAAUUACCAGGGUAGGGUCUUAGCCUGGGGGCAUCAGUCUUUACUCCAUUUUUUUUUAUCAGAUCUCUCCUUAUCAUUUUGAACACAAGCUUUGGCUCCAACAUUAAAUAUCCUGCUACUCCAACAGUACAGUUUAUGUAUAUUUGCUUUGAUUUUAGAUCCCAUGAGAGUUGUUAGUAAUAACCUAUCAAUGAAAUCAAUAUUAGGCUGUUUUGAAAUCUCUAUUAAUGACCUUAGUCCAAAACUUUUCAAUUUAGAUUCAGACACAUUUUUAGGACAAAAGCAGUCACAUUCUCUGGCAAAGCAUCAUAACAAUUUUUUCUAGCCUAGCUGCUAAUACUGUUUCAUUAUGAAAACACUUGAGGUGGACCUCUGUCAAUAAGGUGAAUAUGAGCACUACUGCAUUCCAAGUUUAAACUGGGAUGGCCCAUUAAACCCUACCUAAAGCAUUAAACUUUGUAGUUCAAAGUCUUCUAUAUGUCUCCAAAAAGCCAACUCCUGAAAAUAACUUCCACCUUAGUUACUUUUCUAUUGAUUAUAUAUAUAUAUAUAGUAUAUAUAUUUAUAUGUAUAUAAUUUUACUGAGGUUUAUGAUUUCAGAGAAUGAGUCUAUGGCCACCUUGUAUCAGGCAGCAUGUCAUGAUACUGGCACAGUAUCUGAGAGGUUAUAUAUUGAUACCUAUAUAGAGGCAGACAAAGAGAAAGACUGAGCCUGGUGUGCGCUUUUGAAACAUCAGAGUAUAUCCUUAGUGACUCUUCCAGUAAGGCCACUCCUCCUAAUCUUUCCCAAAUAGUUUAACCACCACCAUGGGAUCAAGCACUCAAAAUUAUGUGCCUGUGGAGGCCAUUCACAUUCAAACAAACACUGGUAGUGACACUAAGGCAUAUAGGACCCUCAAUAUGUUCACUAUAAAAAUGUGCUUUUCUCCUUUAGGUGAGCUCCCAGCAGGCACAGAAACUUGCUGUCUGAACUUCAUAGAAGAUGCAGAAAGAAGAGUGUAAAUGGCAAUGGAAUAGAAAUAAGAAUACUUAAAAUCCACAUAGAGGGAUACUCUCUCAGCCGAGACACACGGGGGAGGGUCUAGGCCCUGCUCCAAAUGAUGUGACAGACUUUGAAGAUACCCCAUGGAAGACCUCACCCUCCCUGGGAUGCAGAAAAGGGAUUGGAUAGGGUAUUGAUGGGGGUCAGGUGAGGAGGGGAGGGAGAGGGAACUGGGAUUGACAUGUCAAAGAAGCUUGUUUCUAAUUUAAAUUAAAAAAAUGGAAAAAAAAUCCCUGCUGCUAUUUUAAA